AGAGUUGUAUCCUGGCUCAGAGUGAACGCUGGCGGCGUGCUUAACACAUGCAAGUCGAACGGACUUAAGGGGCUUGCUUCUUAAGUUAGUGGCGCACGGGUGAGUAAUAUAUAGCUAACCUGCCCUUUAGUGGGGGACAACAGUUGGAAACGGCUGCUAAUACCCCAUACUCCUUCUGAUCUUAAGAUCAGUUGGGAAAGAUUUAUCGCUAAAGGAUGGGGCUUUAUUGUAUCAGCUAGUUGGUGGGGUAAUGGCCUACCAAGGCUAUGACGCAUACCUGGUCUGAGAGGAUGAUCAGGCACACUGGAACUGAGACACGGUCCAGACUCCUACGGGAGGCAGCAGUGGGGAAUAUUGCACAAUGGAGGAAACUCUGAUGCAGCAACGCCGCGUGGAGGAUGACGCAUUUCGGUGUGUAAACUCCUUUUAUAGGGGAAGAUAAUGACGGUACCUUAUGAAUAAGCACCGGCUAACUCCGUGCCAGCAGCCGCGGUAAUACGGAGGGUGCAAGCGUUACUCGGAAUCACUGGGCGUAAAGGAUGCG
rnacentral:rRNA from 1 species